rnacentral:rRNA from 1 species
AUGGCGUGGUACCCAUACAACCCAUACCCCCACCUUCCACCAGGCAUGACCAUCGUUCCACCAGGCCCCCUCCCUGAGCAGCGUGGCUAUGUAGUCAUCGGCGGCGAGCUCCCUAUGGUAUGUGAUGAAUGGGCCAUUGCCACGCUUGAACCUGUGAUCGCUCCUGAGGAAUUCCAUGGAGCCAAUGCCAUGAUCAUCAACUUCCUGGAUAACAGAGGGUGGAGGAUCAACUACUCCUCUUGAUGCGGUAUGGGAUCUAUCUUAAUUCAAUUUACCACAGCAUGCUCUCGUGACACUGCAGUUAGCCAUAGUCCAUUCCAGAUUGGAGAUACAGUGCUUAGAGUAACUAGACAGGAUCGUGGUAUUAACUACAGAAGCAUUACCUUCACCCAUGAUAUCUGGAUGCUGCUGAUGAACUAUCCUUUAGAGUGCUGGGAUGUCCAUGUUAUCAGUAGAACAUUUGCACCAUAUGGUCGUUUUCUUAUUUGGAACAAGGAUCCUAGGGAUAAAACCAGAAUUAUUGUGAAGGUUAGAGUCAUGAAUGCAGACACUCUCCCACUCAGUAUUGUUAUUCUGCGUAACCUGGAUGAUAUGGGCUAUGGAGAUUCAUGGACAUGCCCGGCAUAUAUCCUCUCCAGAGAGCUUAUUGGACAGCAGGGAGGAGAUGAGGAUCCUCUCCCCCCUAAUGGAGGAAAUGCCCAUCCCCUUCCCAAUUUUCAUGCAGGUUUUUGGCAUGAUGAAGUUCUUGGCAACAUUCCUAUGGAACAAGUUGUGAUCAAUCCAAAUAAUGAAGGUCUUGGUGCUCCAUAUGAGGAUGUUCACAUUGGUGUUGAUCAACACAAUAAUAUCAAUGUUGCUGAGGAGGAACAUGGUCACAUUAAUCCCCAGCAUGAACCUAUUCCUACUGUGAAUCAAGGUGCAACUUAG